GACGAACGCUGGCGGCGUGCUUAACACAUGCAAGUCGAACGGAAAGGCCCUGCUUUUGUGGGGUGCUCGAGUGGCGAACGGGUGAGUAACACGUGAGUAACCUGCCCUUGACUUUGGGAUAACUUCAGGAAACUGGGGCUAAUACCGGAUAGGAGCUCCUGCUGCAUGGUGGGGGUUGGAAAGUUUCGGCGGUUGGGGAUGGACUCGCGGCUUAUCAGCUUGUUGGUGGGGUAGUGGCUUACCAAGGCUUUGACGGGUAGCCGGCCUGAGAGGGUGACCGGCGACAGGGGUGCUGGCAGCCGCCACCGACUGUGAGGGGAGGAGGGGGUGGGGUAUAGGGCGCAGCGGCGGGAGGCAUCAGGCAGUAGCCCGGGGGGGAGCACGGCGUGCUGCGGGUUGUAACCCGCCCGCGGGUGGGCCGGAGAGUGAGGGGAAGUGAUGGCAAAAGAUGAAGCGCACAACUACGCGAGAGAGGCGGGGGUAAUAGGAGGAAGUGCACACGUCUAAAC
rnacentral:rRNA from 1 species